rnacentral:miRNA from 1 species
UUAUUUGUGUGUGUGUGUGUGUGUAUAUAAACACACAGAUAUAUAUAUACACACACACACAAACAUACACACACACACACACACAUAU